rfam:Amborella trichopoda AMTR_V1.0_contig_32268, whole genome shotgun sequence.
AAGGAUAUAACUCAACAGUAAAGUGUCACCUUGACGUGGUGGAAGUUAUUAGUUCGAGCCUAAUUGCCCCUA